CCUAAACUCUCUCUGACUUUCAGGUUUUACUGGAUACUAGGAGUCUCCAGAAGGAAAUUAACCAACUGACUGGGAAGCUGGACAGAACCUUUACAGUCACAGAUGAGCUAAUAUUUAAGGAUGCCAAGAAGGACGAGGCUGUGCGAAGGGCCUAUAAAUACCUUGCUUCAGUGCAUGAGAAUUCAAACCAGCUUUUGCAAGCAGUGGAAGAAACAGGGUCGAUCACGCGGGAAAUGCGUGACCUGGAAGAUCAAAUAGAACAGGAGAGUCAGAAGAAAGUCACAGCUAACUUGGAGAGGAUUACGGCCGACUACAAGCAGAUGAAGCAAGAAAAUGCAUCGCUAUUAGCGCAGCUUAAAGGUCAAUAACUGUCGCAGAAGUAUAAAAUAUGUGCAGACAUUAUUUUUGUAGUUAAUUUAUAUAUUUCCGCAAAAUAAAGAGUACUAUAAUACAUGCA
rnacentral:lncRNA from 1 species